rnacentral:rRNA from 1 species
AGAGUUUGAUCCUGGCUCAGAAUCAACGCUGGCGGCGUGCCUAACACAUGCAAGUCGUACGAGAAAGCGGGGGCAACUCCGCAAGUACAGUGGCGUACGGGUGAGUAACACGUGACUAACCUACCUUCGAGUGGGGGAUAACCUCGGGAAACCGGGGCUAAUACCGCAUAACAUCGCAAGAUCAAAGCAGUAAUGCGCUUGAAGAGGGGGUCGCGGCUGAUUAGCUAGUUGGUGGGGUAAUGGCCCACCAAGGCAGUGAUCAGUAGCCGGCCUGAGAGGGCGCACGGCCACACUGGAACUGAAACACGGUCCAGACUCCUACGGGAGGCAGCAGUGGGGAAUUUUGCGCAAUGGGGGAAACCCUGACGCAGCAACGCCGCGUGGAGGAUGAAGGUCUUUGGAUUGUAAACUCCUUUCGACCGGGACGAUUAUGACGGUACCGGUGGAAGAAGCACCGGCUAACUCUGUGCCAGCAGCCGCUGUAAUACAGAGGGUGCAAGCGUUAAUCGGAAUUACUGGGCGUAAAGCGCACGUAGGCGGUUUUUUAAGUCAGAUGUGAAAGCCCCGGGCUCAACCUGGGAAUUGCAUUUGAAACUGGGGAACUAGAGUGUGUGAGAGGGGGGUAGAAUUCCAAGUGUAGCGGUGAAAUGCGUAGAGAUUUGGAGGAAUACCAGUGGCGAAGGCGGCCCCCUGGCACAACACUGACGCUCAGGUGCGAAAGCGUGGGGAGCAAACAGGAUUAGAUACCCUGGUAGUCCACGCCGUAAACGAUGUCUACUAGCUGUUCGUGUCCUUGUGAU